AAUUCGAUACCAGAUGGUGUGCUGUGUCCUUGGGCAAAAACACUUUAUUCCACUUUGCUCCAGUCCAUUCUGCUGGCAAAAGUGGGUGUUAGGGUUAGGGGCAACCCCUGUUGUAGUCUUUUUUGCCCCAACUUUCUCUCACUCUUUCUUCCUGUUUUUUGAGUAACACUGUGAUGGACUGGCAUCCCGUCCAGCUGGAGGGAACACAUACGCCAUAGAAACCGGGCCCAUGAGCCUGGCUAGGCUUGAAAAGGAUGCAUAAAUAAAUAUAUAUAUAUAUAUAUAUAUAUAUAUAUAUAUAUAUAUAAAUCCUUCUGUAUGAAACAUUUUCAUAAAAGCACAAUUACAAUAGCAGAAACAAUCAGUAAAAUCUCGAGCGUAUAUAUACGUAUAUGUAUGCAUACAAGGUAUAUAUUUUAUACACAAACAAUGAUAUAUAAACCUAUCGUCAUUUUACAUUGCUUUUCCAUACUUGCAGGAGUCGGAUGAGCUAUUGCCUAAGACUCAGUACAUUUUCAAAGAAACCACUCUCCAAGAUAAGUGGAGGGAGGACACCACCAUAAUUAACUUUCAUAUCACCUGUAAGCACUGGCUUGGGCUAUGUGUUAAGAAGGUUGCUUCCCAGCCACAUGGUUUCAGGUUCAGUCCCACUGUGUGGCACCUUGGGCAAGUGUCUUCUACUAUAGCCUCAGGCCAACCAAAGCCUUGUGAGUGGAUUUGGUAGACAGAAACUGAAAGAAGCUUGUUGUAUAUAUUCUUUUACUUGUUUCAGUUAUUUGACUGCAGCCAUGCUGGAGCACCACAUGUAGAACAAAUCGAUCCCAGGACUUAUUCCUUGUAAGCCUAGUAGUACAUACACACCAACAUCAAUUGUCAAGCAACGGCGGGGGAGGGGACAAACACAGACACACACACAAAUACACACACACAUAUAUAAACAUACAUAUGACGGGCUUCUUUCAGUUGUGUGUGUGUGUGUUUGUGUAUGAAUGCAUGUAUGUUUAUGUAUAUGAGUGCAUGCGUUUGUGUGUGUGUGCAAGUGUGCGUGUGUGCAAGUGUAUGUGUGUGUGUAUGAGUGCAUAUAUCAUUUGUGUGUGUGUGCACACAAGUGUGUGUGUGUGUAUUCAUCUAUGUUCAAGUUAAUGUGGACAUGUAAGUCUUAACAUGUUUCAAAUUUUACAAUGUGGGUAGAUGAAAGGGUAGGUGUGGUGUUCAGGAAAAUUGGGGCAGGUGGGUAGGUGGGUUGAUGAGCAGGUAGAUGGGACAUUGGGUGGGGGCAAUGAAUUAAAGCAUAGCAUGGGUAGGAGUGGGGGUAAGAUAGAUUUGGGUUAAAUAAUUAGAUUAUUUCAAGUUAGUUUCUUAUGUAAGUUUGUAAUGGCAAUGGAUGGUGGUGUGGUGGUGGUGUCACGGGGUGUGGAGGCAGGGAUAUCUAUGACCUGGAUUUUGUGUUGGCAAGGGACUCAGUUAAGGGGCUCAAAGAAAGAAAAAGGUGUAAGGGAAGGUUUUGAGGGGAUUUUUUCGUCAAAAGAGAUUUUUUUAUGUUAAAGUUCUGCUCUCCCUACCCCAUCUUCUCUCACCUAAUCUGUAUUAAUUAAUUAAUUAGCUUUUUUAAUUUAAGAAAAAGUAGUAAUUGAUAGGUUUUACUCUUUAAAAAAAUUAAAUGCAUUUUUUUAAAUUACAAAAGUAAAACAUGUUUGUGUGUGUGUGUGUGCAUGCAUUUGUGUUUGUUGUUUAACCCAAGGUCAACCUGACUUAAGUACAAAUUUGAUGGAAGACAAUCCAACCAUGACCAUUUUGACGUUCCCUGCUGAGCAGAAAACAAAGAUCCACAUUAUUCAAUGUGGGUUUGUUUUUUUAAGAAGAGCUGAUGUGACUUGAGGGGGUUUGGGUUGCUAUGUUUAGCAGGGCAAGCCACUACAAAGGAAAGAAAUCUUUUUUGUCAGUGGAUGUGUAUUUCAUUACCCAUAAUUCUCAACAGGGCCAUGACCACCCAAACUGACAACGUUCCCACUCCACCCCACCCCACCCCUACCCGACUACUCAAUGCACUAAACUUUCUGGUUCACUGGCUACAAAGAGAAAAAGCAAAUAAAAAAAAUAUUGAAAAAAAGGACAAAAUAAUAAUAUAAAAAGAAACACUCACACACUCAAACAAACAUCACACACACACACACACAUAUAUACAAACAUGCAUACUCUUACAUACAAAAAGCCAACUUAUCACAAAGCCAACUCUACAAACAAAAUACACACACACACACACAAUCAUGCAUGCACACACACACACACACACACACACACACACACAUACCUUGUGGUAUUUGUUCCAGUUCUUUCUGCACUGAUUUGAAAUCCUGCUGAUGUCAUUGUUACCUUUCACUCUUCAAACUUUGACAAAUAAAGUACCAGUCAUACGCUAGGGUAGAUUUUUCAGAUCUUUUCGGUUUGAACGGCAGUUUUUUCUAGCGGUGUCAUAUGAAAUUGUCACCCAUAAUUAUGGCCCUAGUAUUGAUCUAUUGCAUUUCACUCUGUUUUAGGGUUAGGGUUAGUUAGGGUUAAUUAGGGUUAGAGUUAGGGGUGGGGGGAAGGAUAUCUUUUUUUUCUUCAGAAAUGUAAAUAAACCCAAUUUGUUUCUUAAACGAGGGACAUAUUCAUACGGCACAGAAUGUUUUUUUUACCUCAAUGGAUGACAUUGAUUGGUUGAAAUUGCAGAAAUUGAAGAAAAAAACCCAACAAAUAUCUUACAAACUAUAGAAUUUUCUCAAUAAAACCAAGAGAAAAAGAUGUUUUAUAAACACAUUCUACCAGUAUAUGAAAUUUAAAAGUGUUUAGUUACGUGGAAAUUAUUUUUAAAAACUGCCGUUCAAACUGAAAAGAUCCAAUUUUUCUCUUUCAUUUUAUAGAAUCUGCUACAUUAUACCAUGGAUAGGAUCAUAUCAGAUGGGACAAUUUACCAAGUUCUAUUCUUCAGAAAUGAAGAAAAGUCGAAUAAAGCGCUGGCAACCCCCUUCUCUUGGCAAAACUAAUAAUAUUCUACUGGAACCGUCCAAGGCCAGGUAAGGGAUCAUGCACUGUUGCAGCACAUUGCUGCAUUCACCAUUUUUUGUUAUCUGCUUGGGUUAUGCCAGGCAACCCCUCUGAACAGUAUCCAAGUCAGUUCCCUGCUGUGACCACGAGGCAUGUGACCAACCAACAUGAGCUGUCACUCCAGUUGGCUCCUGAGAGAGGAGAUCACAGUAUGCAUGAUGUAACUCAGAAAAUCAAGCAACAUGACCAAAUAGCCUAAGCUGACACUCCCAAAUCAUACAAAUCACAGGGCCUUGUACAUAAGAACAGUGAGCCCAGUUUGAUUUGCAGGCUCAACAUCUGACCUUUUCCUAGUUAGAUCUCGGCUCUGUCUUGGUUGUAUUGUGACUCCCAUUCUGUUCAACAUUUGCAUGGAUUGAUUACUUAACACUUUAGCAUUCAGAUUAAUCUGUCAAGUGUAAUGUUUAUUUAUUCACAUUGAUUUGAAUUAGUUUCACAUCUUGUAACUUUGAGAUAUUAAUGACGUACAGUAAAUCCUCCGCACUUUUUUCCCAAAAUUUAAAGGUCAAAAUCCCUAGUGCAUACUAUAUAUGAGGUUAAAAAUGAAAAUGGCCGAGUCUCUAUUUGUUGUCUGGCUAUGUGUAUUCAGACGCAUUUUGUGAUGUCGGGCGCGAAAAUACCUUAAGCUAAGCCUGAAAGCAAUGAAGUCAUAAAAGAAUCAUCCAUAACUUGCAGUAAACAACAUUUAUUAAAUGUUAUUACUGUUAUUUCUUUAUUUUCUGCAAACAAAAUGCACAAAAAAGCUACACGUUUGCAUUAUGUUAUAUAUACAAUAAUAAUAAAGGACGUUACCAAAUACAUUUUUACAAACCAAGGACGUUAUAUAGACCUCCUUGACUCAAGUUAGAGAAGGGGUGUGUAUUAUACACAAGGUUUAGGUUUUUCAGAGGUACAGCCCCCUAAAAAUCCCCUGCAUAUUAUACUCAAGGGCGGACUAUACUUUAGGAUUUACGGUAGUUGCCUAUUUUAAGAAUGAUAAUGUAGUGUUGGUUUGAGAGGCCAGUUUGAGCAUUAAACAGGUAGAAUUUUUGGCUAGAUAUGGCGGGAUUAAAUACUAAAAAGUUAAUGAAAUUGUGUUGCACUCACUGGUGAAACUAAGAUUACUGACCUGGAUUUUGCUGAUAAGCCAAUUAUUCAUGCCAAAUCUCUGGAUGUCUUAAGGAAUGCUCACCUUUCACUGAGUGAGGAAACAGAACCACUAAGCCUUAAAGUUUCUUGAGUCAAGACAAAGAUCCAGUCCUUUGUUGGUUUCUUUGAGGAUUCCACCUUAUCUGUCUCUGUUGUGGCUAAGGGUGUCAAAGUUGUUGAUCCCUUCAUUUAUCUCAGCAGCAUGAUCCAUAGGAGUAUUAGCUAUGUAUCUACAUAUCAAAUUUGAGCACAAUCGGAUGGAGGAUGCCCAAGAUUCUAGAAGACACACACACAGACAGACAGAAUGGAUUUUAUAUAAUAGAUAUAUAAGUUUGGCCAAAAGUCACCCAACAAUAAAUGAAAAUUCCAUAAAUAUUAUCUGUAAUUCUGUAUUGACUCGAAUGGAAAAAUCUGUUACUCAAGAAGGACUUCAGUUUGAACAAUUUUCAUGACAUUUCAUAUUUAGAUGCUUUUAUUAUUUUCAUGAUCCCUGUGCUGAUGGCACGUAAAAAGCACCAACCGAAUGUGGCCGAUGCCAGCGCCGCCUUGACUGGCUUCCAUGCCGAUGGCUCAUAAAAAGCACCAACUGAUCAUGGCCAUUGCCAGCCUUGCCUGGCACGUAAAAAGCACCCACUACACUCACGGAGUGGUUGGCGUUAGGAAGGGCAUCCAGCUGUAGAAACACUGCCAGAUCAGACUGGAGCCUGGUGCAGCCUCCUGGCUUCCCAGACCCCUGUCGAACCGUCCAACCCAUGCUAGCGUGGAAAACGGACGUUAACCGAUGAUGAUGAUGAUGAUGAUUCAGUAGUAAAAUAUAAAUAAAUCUUGGAAUUAAAUGGUUUACUGGUUUACUGGCAAGUGACUUUUGGCCAACCCUGUAUAUAUACUCGAGUUUCAUUAUUUAACUCCCUUGCUGCUCUGAGUGGUCUUUCUGAAACCAGAUGGGUCACAAGUAGCAAUAACAAACUCUGAGUAGGGAUGGAAUGGGUUACCAACAUGACCCCUAUAAACAGGUCUGACUUUAUAUUGUCAAUACUCAUUUUGCUUAUAAGUUGAAACACACACAUAAGGGAAAUGAGAAUGAACACACUCACACACACACACACACACACAUGCAUAUACACCAACAUGCACAUGUAUACGCACCAACAAACACAUACACACAUACAGCAUAGAAAUAAACGGUCGGAAUACUAGUACAGGAACUCUAUAAUAGAAAUGUUUUCAAGAAUCUGAUAAGAUAAAUUCUAUGAAAUAAUUAAAUAUAUUUGGUAAGUCAUGUAUUGAUUAUAAAACAGGGCUGGAAGGGGAUGGGUAGGAGGUGUUUCAUAUUUGUUGUCUUUCAUCGAUUUUUAUAUCUUUAUUUGUUGUUGUUGUUUAACACUGACAGAUCUGAUCAAUGAUCUCAAGUGUUGUUUCUGCUAUAUUUUGCCAUGAAUACACCAGACUUCUUUAUAUAAUGUAACCAUUUUUUGUAAAGAUGUUUGGGUGUAAUUCAAGGAGUCAGGAUAGUUAGAACGUUGGGCAAAAUGCUGAGUGCUAUUUCAUCUGUCUUUACAUUCUGAGUUCAAAUUCCGCUGAGUUUAACUUUGCCUUUCAUCCUUUUGGGGGGUCAAUGAAUUCAGUACCAGUGAAACACUGGAACUGAUCUAAGGGACUAGUCCCCACCCACCAAAUUUCAGGUCUUGUGCCUUUAGUAGAAAGGAUUAUUAUUAUUAUUAUUAUUAUUAUUAAGGCAGUGAGCUGGCAGAAUCAUUAACACACCAAGCAAAAUGCUUAGUGGUCUUUUGUCCAUCUUUCUGAGUUCAAAUUCCACCAAGGUUGACAUAGCAUUUUAUCAUUUUGGGUUUGAUAAAAUAAGUACCAGUUGAUCACUGAGGUUGAUGUAAUAGACUUCCUCCUCCUCCGGAAUUGCUGCCCUUGUGACAAAAUUUGAAGCCAUUAUUAUUAUUAUUAUUAUUAUUAUUAUUAUUAUUAUUAUUUAGAAAGUCUGUGCUACACAUAUAAAUGUAAAUACUAAAUGUGUUUUCAUAGACACCACAUUACAAGAACACAUGCACACACACACACUCACUCACUGCAAUUUUCAACGACAUCAUAAAUUGCUGAACUAAAAUCUGUUAGCAUAGAAAAUUAUUGUCAGCUUACGAAAAUCAAAUAAGUGAAAACACAGACACCUCUAAAAUUAUUUCCUCCUCCAAAUUUAAUGCUAAUAAUAUAUAUAUAUAUGUAUAUAUAUAAUAUACACAUAUACAUAUUUAUAUGCAUGUAAGUAUGGAUUAUGUGCCCGCUUUAAUAAAGAAUGUACAGAGCAUAUUUUUGAUACUAAAAGUGGAGGCUUUUCCUCUUCAAUAAUUAAUUACUCGUUUGUUAACACCUAAAAGCUUUUCGCAUUUAUUUAAUGCAAAUUAAGUUAUAUUUAUAUGAAAACUAGGACAUACUUACCUGGAAACUAAGUCAUACAAAAACUAACAUUUAAAGGAAAUGUAAGCUAACCAUAUAUAUAUAUAUAUAUAUAUAAAAUAUAUAUAUACACAUAUAUAUAUAUAUAUAUAUAUAUAUAUAUAUAUACAUAUAUAUACAUAUAUAUACAUAUAUAUAUAUAUAUAUAUAUAUAUAUAUAUAUAUAUACAUAUAUAUACAUAUAUGUAUACAUAUACAUAUAUAUAUAUAUAUAUAUAUAUAUAUAUAUUUAUGUGUGCAUUGUAUGUGUGUGUGUGUGUGUGUAAUAAUUCUUCAAGAGGUUCUUUGUGUACAACAAAUAUUAACUCAACAUGAUACAAUAUACGAAAUUCUUCAUUCUUAACUCUAGAAAUGUCUUUGAAAUAUUCAUUAGAAGAACAUUUUUAUGCAAUAUUGAAUUUGUUAAACUAUUACCUAAACACAUUAUUAUUAUUAUUAUCAUUAUUAUUAUUAUUAUUAUUAUUAUCAUUAUUAUUAUUAUUAUAAUAUGAGGCAGUGUGCUGAAGAUAUCAUUAGCAGACUGCUCAAAAUGCUUAACAGCAUUUUGUCCAUCUUUGUGUUUUGGGUUCAAAUUCUGCUGAGGUUGACUUUGCCUUUCAGGGUUGACAAAUUCAGUACCAGUAAUAAUAAUAAUAAUUAUUAUUAUUAUUAUCAUUUCAAAUUUUUGCCACAAGGGAAGCUUGGGGGAUGUGGAGAUGAGUCGAUCACAUCAACCCCAGUGUUCAACUGGUACUUAUUUUAUCAACCCCAAAAGGAUGAAAGGCAAAGUCAACCAUGGUGGAAUUUGAACUCAGAAUGCAAAGAUGGACAAAAUGCCACUAAGUUUCUUGCCACUCUAAUAAUAGUGGUUUCAAAUUUUGGCAAAAGGCCAGUAAUUUUGGAGUAGGGGGUAAAUCAUUUACAUCAACCCCAGUGUCCAACUGGUACUUUAUUUUAUUGACCUCAAAAGAAUGAAAGACAAAGUCGACCCCAGUUGCAUUUGAACUCAGAAUGUAAAGUCAGGAAAACUGCCGCUAAACAUUUUGUCCAGCAUACUAACAAUUUCACCUGUUCAUUACAUUAAAAAUAAUAAUAAUAAUAAUAGUAAUGAUUAAUCCUUUCCAGUAAAGGCACAAGACCUGAAAUUUUGAGGAAAGGUUUAUAGUCAAUUACAUUGACCCCAGUGUAUCACUGGUACUUAAUUUAUUGACCUAGAAAAGAUGAAAGACAAAGUUGACCCUGGUAGAAUUUGAACUCAGAACAUAAAGAUGCUAAGCAUUUUGUCUAGCAUACUAAUGAUUCUGCCAGCUCACUGACUUUUUAAUGAUAAUAAUAAUAAUAAUGAUUUCUGAUUUAGGCAAAAAAAGGGCAUCAAUUUUGAAGAAAAGCUUAAUUAAUGUUAUCAAUCCCAAUAAUAAACUGGUCCAUUAUUUUAUAAAGGGGUGAACGGUAACAUUGAACUCAGCAAGAUUUGGACUCAGGGUUUUAAUCAACCAGAAGAAAUUCUACAAGAUACUUUGUCUAAUGCUUCAACAAUUCUACCAAUUGGCCAAUUGUAGAUUUCUCACCUAAAAACAAGGUUUCAAAUUUCAGGAAAGUAUAGUCAUAUCAACCCUGGUAUUUUGCUGGUACUAUACAUUUUGUUCCUCUAGGGACAAAAUAAAGUUGAUCCUGACAAGAUGUUUUAAGGAUUCCAAUGACCCGCUGCAUUGUUUUAAAAAUGAUAUUAAAAUCUAAGUUGCUUAGGAAUCAAUUAUAUUUAUCUAUUUUCUAAUUAUGUUAAUAAUUUCUUGAUAAUGUUAUUUUUAUCAUUUCCCAAAACUGAAAAUAUCUGUGGCUCAAUGCUACACCAGAGAAACCUAACCACGGGCAAACACAGUUGGUCACCACACUAGAAAUAAGAACUAAUUCAACCUCCCAUCUUAAACAAAGAAAGCACAGACACAAUUGUUAUGAGCAGAACACCUUUGAUCUACAUAGGUUUAUUUUGGGAGCUAAACAUCAAUAUAAUUUAAAAUAUCAUAUCAUUUUAAUUACAUAUUUUUCACUAAUUAAAUUGUUAUAAUUACUUUCCUUCAAAUGAAACCAUAUUAUCUGACGAAUAAAAAUUAUCCAAUUAGAUUGUUAAAAUUCCAUGUUUGAAUUAAAAGCUACCUUCAGUAAAAUGAAUUAGUAUUUCAAAUUAUAUGUUAAGACAUGUCUUAAUAUAUAUUAAGACAUGUAUUUGUGGCUAUUACGGUGGCCAGACAGCAGAAACUAGCAUGUUAGACAAAAUGCUUAGCAGCAUUUCAUCCGUCUUUAAGUUCUGAGUUCAAAUGUUACCCAGGUUGACUCUGCCUUUCAUCUUUUCAGUGUUAAUAAAAUGAGUACAAUUUGUGCACUGGAGUUGAAGUAAUAGGCAUAGGAGUGGCUGUGUGGUAAGUAGCUUGUUUACGAACCACAUAGUUCCAAGUUCAGUCCCACUGCGUGGCACCUAGGGCAAUUGUCUUCUACUAUAGCCUUUAGGCCGACCAAAGCUUUGUGAGUGGAUUUGGUAGAUGGAAACUGAAAGAGGCCCGUCGUAUAUAUGUAUGUGCAUGUAUGUGUGUGUGUAUAGGUUUGUGUGUCUGUGUUUGUCCCCCCAACAUCACUAGACAACUGAUGCUGGUGUGUUUACGUCCCCGUAACUGAGCAGUUCGGCAAAAGUGACUGAUAGAAUAAGUACUAGGCUUACAAAGGAUCAUUAAUUUACUUAAUGAAGACAGAUAUGGAAAUAAAUAACAGUAAUAACAAAUUCAGGAUUACAAACUAAGUGAAAUGACCCUCUACCUGUCUGACAGUGAAAAAAAUCAUUUUACGUUUAUUAUGUGAUGUCAAGACAAGGAGACAGCCAUGCGUACACAUUUACCUUUACUCACACACAUUCGUACAUGCAUACACAUAUGGUGGGCUUCUUUCAGUUUCCAUCAACCAAAUGCACUCAUAAGGCUUUGGUUGACCUUAGGUUAUAGCAGAAGACACAUUCCCAAGAUAUUGUGUAGUAAGACGGAGCCUGGAAACCUGUGGUUUCCAGGGUCAGUCUUACAUUUAUAUGAAUAUGUGUAUAUAUCAUCAUCAUCAUCACCAUCAUGAUUUAACAUCCUUUUCUAUGCAAGCAUGGAUUGGACAGUUCGACAGAUGCUUGCCAGCUGCAGAUCUGUCCAGGCUCCAAUUCUCUUUGAAGGUUCAGCUUGUUUGUCUACAUUGGACAAUCAGAUGAAAGUAAGCAAGAUAAAAGUUUCAAGUCAUUAGCAAUCUUUUUCUUGUAAAAUUUGAUAUACAUGUGUAUACUCUUUUCUCUCUUUUACUUGUUUCAGUCAUUUGACUGCGGCCAUGCUGGAGCACCGCCUUUUUUAAUCGAGCAACUCGACCCCGGGACUUAUUCUUUUGUAAGCCCAGUACUUAUUCUAUUGGUCUCUUUUGCCGAACCGCUAAGUAACGGAGACAUAAACACACCAGCAUCGGUUGUCAAGCAAUGCUAGGGGGACAAACACACACACACAAACACACCCACGCAUAUAUAUAUAUAUACGACGGGCUUCUUUCAGUUUCCGUCUACCAAAUCCACUCACAAGGCUUUGGUCGGCCCGAGGCUAUAGUAGAAGACACUUGCCCAAGGUGCCACGCAGUGGGACUGAACCCGGAACCAUGUGGUUGGUAAGCAAGCUACUUACCACACAGCCACUCCUAAGCCUAUAUAUAUUACUUUUUGAUGUAUAUUGUUUUAUUCUGUUGGAUUUGGAUGUUCCUAGUUAAUUAGUUAAUAAAUAAUAUGAAUUGGUAUUAUCUGUAAGUUGAUGAUUAAAAGGAAGCUCUUCCUCCAUUUUCUUAUUUAUAUAUAUAUAUAUAUAUAUAUACACACACACAAACACACACAGUACACACAUUCACACACACUCACACACAUGUAUGUUAUUUGUUUGUAUGUAUGUAUAUAGGUGUGUGCGAGUGUGUAUGUUUGUAUGCAAUUAUUUAUGUGUAGUACAUACAUUAAUUUAGCAAAGGCCAAAAGGUAUUGGAAAGCAGGAAAGCAGACUAAUGGCUAAUCUGCUCUUAGAAAUGACUCUGCUUGAUAUGUGGGAAAAAUGUAGGCAGAAAUUCCAUAUGGUACACAUAAGAGAUGCAUUGAAAUCACAGAAGGUUAACAGAGAAAGUAGUCGUUAUGUGUGGCAGAUGUGCAGGUACAAUAAACACUAAGAAUACACAGGUAAUAAAUUUCCUCAGACAAAUCCUUAGAGGUAGUAGAUAGUUUCAACUAACUAGGUGACCAAAUUAGUAGUGGAAGGAGAUGCUCUGAAAGUAUAGUUGCUAGAAUAAGAACCAGCUGGGCAAAGUUCAGAGAAUUAUAACUUUUGUUGGUAACAAAAGCCUCUCCCCUAGUGUAAAAGCAGAUUUUAUGAUACCUGUGUGUGGACAGCUAUGCUACAUGCCAGUGAAACAUGGGCUGAGGAUGCAGAAGAUUGACAAAGGAUUGAAAGAAAUGAAGCCAACAUGUGCUGCUAGAUGUACAGUCUCAGUGUACAUGUAGGAUAAAAUGUAAAUGUUUUGUGUGUGAAGUUGUGUAUAAGAGGCACCAGAGAGAAGAUUGUGUUGGUAGGGUCAUAGGAUGUGAAUGAAGGAAGACGAUUGCAUAAAGAAGUGCUGAGGGAACCUAUAGAAAAGGAAGACUUAGGAAGAUGUGAGAUUAAGUGUGAAAAAUGAUCUUCAGAUGUUGGACUUUACAGAGAAGAUGAUGAAUGACCGAGGCAAUUGGUAAUUUACUGUGCUUGAGAAGACCUGUCCAGCUAAGUAAACGCCAAGCAAAGAAGAUGUAUCCUUUAUGUCCAUGCUCCCACAUACAACCUGUCCUGACAAAUGUCUCUCUCACAUGCCAUCUUCUCAUUACCUCUUUACACCCACCUGUGUCCACCAUGUACUGUAUUCCCUUCCCCUGUAUAUAUAUAUAUGUGUGUAUGUGUGUGUGUGUGUGUGUGUGUAUAUGUGUGUAUAUAUAUGUGUAUGUGAGCGUGUGUAUAUGUGUGUGUGUGUGUGUGUGUAUAUAUGUGUGUGUGUGUGUGUGUGUGUGUGUAUAUAUGUGUGUAUGUGUGUGUGUAUAUAUGUGUGUGUGUAUAUAUGUGUGUGUGUGUGUGUGUGUAUAUGUGUGUGUGUGUGUGUGUGUGUGUGUGUGUGUGUGUGUGUGUGUGUGUGUAUAUAUACAGACACAUAUAUAGCAGUUCGGCAAAAGAGAGCAAUACAAUAAGUACUAGGCUUCCAAAGAAUAAAUCCUGAGGUCGAUUUGCUCGAUUAAAGGCGGUGCUCCAGCAUGGUCACAGUCAAAUGACUGAAGCAAGUAAGAGAGUAAAAGAGAUAGUAAGUUCUAACUAUUUGUGUGCAUUUCUGUAUAUAUAGGAGCACUCCGUCGGUUACGAUGACAAGGGUCCCAGCUGAUAUGAUCAACGGAACAGCUUGCUCAUGGAAUUAACGAGCAAGUGACUGAGCAAUUCACAGACAUGCAUACCCCUAACGUAGUUCUCAGGGAGAUUCAGCGUGAUACAAAGUGUGACAAGGCCGGCCCUUUGAAAUACAGUUACUACUAAUUUUUGCCAGCUGAGUGGACUGGAGCAACGUGAAAUAAAGUUUCUUGCUCAAGGACACAACACGUCGUUGGGAAACUGGGAAUCGAACUCACAACCUUACAAUCAUGAGCCAAAUGCCCUAACCACUGAGCCACGUGCUUUCAUACCUACACAUAUAUAUAUAUAUAUAUAUGCUGGUAGCAGGUAAAAGCACCCACUACACUCUCAGAGUGGUUGGCAUUACGAAGGGCAUCCAGCUGUAGAAACAUUGCCAGAUCAAGAUUGAAGCCUGGUGCAGCCAUCUGGUUCACCAGCCCUCAGUCAUUCGUCCAACCCAUGCUAGCAUGGAAAGCGGAUGUUAAACAAUGAUGAUGAUGUGUGUGUGUGUGUGUGUGUGUGCGUAUCGCUCUCUCUCUCUCUCUCUCUCUCUCUCUCUCUAUAUAUAUAUAUAUAUAUAUAUAUAUAUAUAUAUAUGUAUGUUUGUAUGUAAUUAUUUAUGUACAUACAUUAUGUAAGUCUAUAGCUAUUGUGUGUGUGUGUGUGUGUGAGUGUAGAAUGUUGCACGGUUGUCGCAAUUUCACCGUAAAUAAAUGUGAGAAUCAAGCCGGUCGCCGUUAAUGAUUCUCUCAGCCUGUCAGAUAUAUUUCUUCCAUUUUUUUUCCUUUUUUCCCAAAUAAAUUGAAUACAACAGAAGAAUACAUUACAUUUAAAUAGAAUAAGAUCCAUUAACAGAUAAAUAAGUGUGAAUUAAUUAUAAAACAACAUUCUGCUCUCCAUUGUCAUCUCAUGUAUACUCUGUGUGUGUGUGUGUGUGUGCUUUUUUUUUAUAUGUCUUUGUAUGUGUGUGUUUACUGUUUUGUGUGGUUGCAUUUGUGAACUUUGUGUGUAUGUAUGUGUGUGUGUGUGUGUAAUUUUAUGAGUGUGUGUAUGUGUACGUGGCCUUUUCGUCUGUAUAAAUCUAUAAAUGGUAUAAAACAUUUAUUGCAGAUACUAUUUCUUUCUGACAGAUUCCUUUCUCAUUAUGCUUUUUAUUAUUAUUAUUAUUAUUAUUAUUAUUAUUAUUAUUAUUUAUUAUCAUUUUUUUCUGUUGUAAAUAUAAGCUUUCAUCAUCAUCAUCACUAUCAUAUUAUUGUACUGAUCUUCCCCAUCCUUAACCAUCCACCCAUUGUCAUUAUUACCAUCUUCCUCGCCAUCACCUCUGUCAUCAUUUGCAUCAUCAUUACCAUCACCACAACCAUCAUCAUCAUCGUACAUCAUACAUCAUCCAAUACAUUAUCAUCCUCAUUAUUCUUUAAACAACCUCAUGUUUUGUUCUUGCUAUUCUCCAUAUCAAAUUAGAUUCCAUAAAUAUUCGUACAACACCAAUUCCCUACCAUGCCCUCCUCUUCCAAUUCCCAUCUCAAUAUCAAACCCUAUUAUUUCAUGUAACAUUUUUAUUAUUUUCCUGUAUUAAGUUAAAGCAAUUCAACCAUGUUGUUUGUUGCUUGGCCUUCAAGGGCUUUUUUCUUUUUUAAUAUGAAAACCCAAUAAUUUGUUUGAAUGUACAAGUUGUCAUCUCUCUCUCUCUCUCACACACACACACACAUGUUUUGCUGCCCAUAUGCUCCAAUUCCUAUGUGUUUUCUAGGGCUGCAUGCCAUUCCUAAUGCCAGCCAUUUUUGCAAACAGUAAACUGUAAAGGGCAUGUAUAGUGGCUGUGUGGUAAGAAGCUUGCUUCCCAGCCACAUGGUUUCAGGUUCAGUCCCACUGUGUGGCACCUUGGUCAAAUGUCUUCUACUAUAACCUCGGGCUGAUCAAAGCUUUGUGAGUGGAUUUGGUAAAUGGAAACUGAAAGAAGCCCACCAGAUAUAUAUAUAUAUAUAUAUACACAUGUUGAUGCAAAGAUUCAAUCCGAAUGUGUGGAGGGCAUAUGUGAGGGAUAGGCAACCCUGGUUGUCUACCGAGGAAUAUAAAAAGAACAUUUUAUCAACUCAUUGUUCUUCAAUACAAGAAAAAAAAUCCUCAACGUUUUGUCUUAAUAAACUGCUAUUGUUCCUGAAAGUUGUUUUUUUAUAUUCACUAAGGAUUGCUCAAAGCUAACUUUCUUUCUACACCUUGAUCCCGAGAUCUUGCAUUUAUAUAUACAUAUAUAUAUAUAUAUAUAUAUAUAUAUAUAUAUAUAUAUAUAUAUAUAUAUAUAUAUAUAUAUAUAUACUCUUUACUCUUUUACUUGUUUCACUCAUUUGACUGUGGUCAUGCUGAAGCACCGCUUUUAGUCGAGCAAAUCGACCCAAGGACUUAUUCUUUGUAAGCCUAGUACUUAUUCUAUCGGUCUCUUUGCCGAACUGCUAAGUUACGGGGACGUAAACACACCAGCAUAGGCUGUCAAGUGAUGUUGGAGGGACAAAUACAGACACACAAACAUAUACAAGACUUGGCAAGCCAAAUGAGACCAUAACCUCGUGGCCUAUGCCAGGAGUGUAACCCGCCCACUUAUGCGUACCUUUCCUUCAUUGGACACCAAACUCUGCUUCCGAAGACCUGUUGAGGCAAGUGAAAUUGAAAUCGAAAUCAAAUUCGAUGGCUGGCAUCCAUGCUAGUGGAGCACUAAGAACACCAUCCGAGCGUGAUCGUUGCCAGAGCAACAAAUGCAUAAUGCAAAGCUGGACAAAAUGCUACUAAGCUUUCUGACCAGUAUGCUAACAAUUCUGCUGGCUCACUGCCUUUAAGCAAACCAAUAUUGAUCACCACCACAUCAAUACCAUAUUGAACACCGUAUAUUGAUCUUGGCAAUACUGUCACCAAAAUUUACAUAACAUUAAUUUACCAUUGUUAAUAAAAUAGUUUUCAUUUUUUACUUUAUAAAAUCAUAAUUAAUGUUUUUUUAAUUGUUAUUUUCAAUAAUAUUUUUCACUCACAUUUGGCCUUACACACUUGUCUAGAGAGUUUUAUUUUACAAAACUUUGUAGAUAUUUUUUACAUUUAUGUAAUUUUUAUUUUCUGUUUUUGCAUUUUUAGUUUUCAUAAACCACCACCACCAGUGAUGUUAUUUUUUUUGUUUUUCAACUGAUGCAGUUAUGUGUAUUUUCAUUGAUAAACUGGUGUGUAUGUGUGGAAGAGAGAGAGAGAGAGAAUGUGUGGUGUGUGUGUGUGUGUGUGUGUGUGUGUGUACACAUAAGUUUGUGGGUGUAAUGUAUACUGUGUGUUUGUGUGUGUGUUUGUAGUUGUAUGCAAGUGUAUAUGCAUGUGCACUUACAUGUUUUGCAGAUUUGUUGGAUAUUUGAUAUUUUCAAUAUCAGUAAAUAGAUGAUAUUUUCAUAAGUAUAUAUGAUGAUUCUCUGUGUGUGUGUGUGUGUAUAUUAUAUGUGUGUGUGCAUGUGUGUAUAUAUAUACACACACACACACACAUAUAUGUAUAUAUAUAGAGUGGGAGGCAGAUACAGACAUACAUUUAUAUACAUGUAUACGUACAUGCAUGCAUAUAUAUAUAUAUAUAUAUAUUUAUAUAUAUAUAUACAUAUGCACAUAUACCAUAUAUGCACAUGCAUACAUACAUAUGUAUAUCUGUUUAAUCCAAAGUUUUAUCAACGAAACCUGUAUAAACUUAUUCAGAGAAAGACAAUUAGUGAAAGAAACGUGGUGGGUGUAUAGAGAGAGGGCAAUGGUUAAUGUAUUUAGGUAUUGAUAUCUCUCCUUACUUUAAUAAUAACCGUCGACACAGGGGAUGGAGAUAGUCAGAGUACACAGGAGAGAUAUAAAAUAACACAUGCACACACACACACACACACACACACACACACAUAUACACAGAAACCCACCUGCCCACAUAUACAAGCACAAACACGCUCACAAACAUGCACACACACACACACACACACACACACACACACACACACACACAUAAACACACACUUAAUGAGACAAGCAUUUAUACAUAUGUACGUGCAUAUAUAUAUAUAUAUAUAUAUAUAUAUAUAUAUUCAUAUAUGUAUAUUCAUAUAUACAGUGCGAUAGAAAGAGAUGGUUAAUUUAGUUUCAUAAUAACUAUUUCCACAAAGGUUAGAGAUAGACACACUAUUUAGUAAAGAUAUAAAUCAAAUAUGUGCUCCUAUAUAUUGAAGCACAUUUAUAGAUAUAUACAUGCAUAUAUAAUAUAUAUAUAUAUAUAUACAUACACAUAUUAACCAAAUAUAUAUAGUACAUAUUUGUAUUUAGUUUGCAAGGUUCUUGAUGUGUGUGUAUAUAUAUAUAUAAACCAAAUAUAUAUAUUUAUCUAUAUUAAUUAUAUAUAUAUAUAUAUAUAUAUAUAUAUAUAUAUAUAUCAAAUUAAUAUUUAUAAAUAUAUAUAUUUGGUUAAUAUAUAUAUUUAUAUAUAUUAAUCAUAUAUACAUACAUAUAUAUAUAUAUAUGUGUAUAUCAUUCAAAUUAACAAAAGACGAAGGUGGCAGAACAAUAAGCAGGUGUAUUAGUUUGGAGUUUGAGAAGAAUGAAGAAGUCUUUUACAUUUCCUGCCAAAACUCUUUGACUGAAAAGAUUCGGAGGAAAAAAGAAAAUGGAGAGAGAAUGAAAAACAUGGAGAGAGAGGAAAACAAUGUGUAGGGCUUAGCAGUUCGACAUGGUUGGAAUGGCUGGAAGAAAGAGGCUGAAUGAAAGGGAGAUAUUGAUGGUGACCCAAAUGAAGCAAAGGUGCACAUGCACGUGUAUGUAUGUGAGAAUGGUGAGAGUUGGCUGUGUAGGCAAGAAGCCUGCUUCCCAACCACAUGGUUCCUGGUUCAGUCUCACUGCAUGGCACCUUGAGCAAGUGUCUUCUACUAUAGCCUCGGGCUGACCAAAGUCUUGCAAGUGAAUUUGAUGGAUGGAAACUGAAAGAAGCCUGUCAUGUAUAUAUAUAUAUAUAUAUAUAUAUCCAACCCGUGCUAGCGCGGAAAACGGACGUUAAACGAUGAUGAUGAUGAUGAUGAUGAUGUAUAUAUAUAUAUAGGAGUUGGCAUUGAGAAGGGCAUCCAGCCGUAGAAACACCACCAGAUCAGACUGGGCCUGAUGCAGCCUUCUGGCUUCCCAGACCCCAGUCGAACCGUCCAACCCAUGCUAGCAUGGAAAGCGGACGCUAAAUGAUGAUGAUAUAUAUAUAGUUUGUUUGUGUGUAUCUUUGUGUCUGUAACUAUUCCACCACUUCUUGACAAAUUGGUUUUGGUGUGUUUGCAUUCCUGUAACUUAGUGGUUCGGCAAAAGAUACUGAUGGAGUAAGUACCUGGUUUAAAAAUGAAAUAGUGAGGGGCAAUCUAUUUGGCUAAAAAUUCAAGUCACUGUCUUAAGACUGAAAUCAAUGAAAAGAUAAAGAGAGAUAUACUAACCAAAGUGGAAUGUAUGGUAAGAAGCUUGCUUCCAAAGCACAUGGUUCCAGGUUCAGUCCCACUGUGUGGCACCUUGGACAAGUGUCUUCUACCACAGCCCUGAGCCAACCAAAGCCUUGUGAGUGGUUUGGUAGAUGGAAACUGAAAGAAGCCCAUCAUGAUAUAUAUAUAUAUAUAUAUAUAUAUAUAUAUAUAUAUAUAGGUAUGUAUGUAUUUGUGUGUCUGUGUUUGUUUCCCCACCAUCGCUUCACAACCGAUGUUGGUGUGUUUACAUCCCCAUAACUCAGCAGUUUGGCAAAAGAGACUGAUAGAAUAAGUACUAGGUUUACAAAGAAUAAGUCCUGGGGUUUUGUUUGACAAAAGGCAGUGCUCCAGCAUAGCCUGUCAGAUGACUGAAACAAAAGAAUAUAUAUAUAUAUAUAUAUAUAUAUAUAUAUACAUACACACACACACACAUAUAUAUGUAUAUAUAUAUAUAUAUAUAGAUAAAUAGAUAGAUAGAAAAAUAGAUUGUUAAUUUAUUUAUACAACAAUUUCUCACUUUAGUUCAAUAUUACUUACACUGGGAAUAUCUAGACAGACACACUUUAUACAUAGUAUCAAUGUAAAAUAAUACAUACCCACACACAUGUAUAUAAUGGGAAUGGCUAAUAUAUUUAUAUAUUGGUAUCUCUCCCUAGCUCAAUAAUAACUUAUUUACACCGAGGAUAGAGAAAGACUAUAUGGUAUACAGAUAUACAAUUACUCGCAUACAUAAACGCGGGUGUUCACACAGUCUCAUACAUAAAUAUAUACACACACGUAUAAAGGAGGGCAAAGAAGAUAACCCAAUAUCAGAUACAGAAUCAAUAAAUAUCAAUAAAUAUUAAUAUGAAAGUACACGUGUGUGUGUAUAUUUGGUAUGUGUGUAUAUAAAUAUAUAUAUAUAUAUAUAUACACACACACAUGUGUAUGGUAUGUAUGUAUUUCAAUAAAUUGAUUAAUGUGUAUAUGUAUAUAUAUAUAUAUAUAUAUAUAUAUAUAUAUGUGUGUGUGUAUAUAUAUAUAUGUAUAUAAAUGUGUGUAUAUAUAUAUAUAUAUAUAUGUGUGUGUAUAUAUAUGUAUAUAUAUAUGCAGAGAUGAUUGAAUAUUCCUAGAUGGGGGACUGAAACCAAAUUAGUAAUGCAUGUCUUGAGAUUUAAAAUCCAUGCAGUAUCUCUUGAAGGAGGGAGAGAAUGGGGGAGGGGGCGCAGUAGCAGAAGUGAAGAGUAUGAAGUUGUGUACGGUGUUAUUGUUGUUGUAGUUGUUCCUAAGUAGGCCUUGUCAGCUGUACUUGAAGAAACCUCAAGUCGGUGGUGGUGGGUGGGUGGGUGAGAUGGGGGUGAGAAAUAUUACUUAACCCAAGGAAGAAGGGGGCUGUGCCUGUAAACCCUGCCUCUCUCCCCUGUUGGUGUCUCACCCAUGAAACUUGUAUGGCUGGAACUAUUUCUGUUUAUCUUAAAAUUUCAUUGAGGGAAAAAAUGGAACAGAGAAGAGAUUUCUGUUGUGUUGGGGAAGAAGGAUUUGGAAGAAGGUUACAUAAAUAAAGUCAGAGAGAUUUUUAAGUGGUGUUGUGCUACAACUAUUUGGCUACUAUAAAUACCUAUUUCUUUAUUACCCACAAGGGGCUAAACACAGAGGGGACAAACAAGGACAGACAUAGGUAUUAAGUCGAUUACAUCGACCCCUGUGCAUAACUGGUACUUUAUUUAUCGACCCCGAAAGGAUGAAAGGCAAAGUCGACCUCGGCGGAAUUUGAACUCAGAACGUAAUGGCAGACGAAAUACCGCUAAGCAUUUCGCCCAGUGGGCUAACGUUUCUGCCAGCUCACCGCCUUAUACUAUAAAUACAAAUAGUUUGCAACAGUUCGAUUCUUGGCAGUAUGUUCUGUUCUUGAGCAAGACACCAACCAAGAGAAUAUCCUCCAUCAGGCAUUUGCCAUAUUCUGAACGCCUUACUUCCCUGGGCAUGCACACAUUGAAACUCCGACAUCUGGCAGCUGACUUGGCAGAUACCCAUAAAAUUAUCAACCAUCUUACAAACAAUAACUCUGAGCACCUUUUCAAACUCCACCUGUCUAACACUCGUGGACAUGUUUACAAAGUCAGAAAACAGCACAGCUCCCAUGACUUUCAGAAACAUUUUUUCAAGCUAAGAUUUGCUGAAGCAUGGAACAAACUUCCAGCAUCAGUUGUUAGUUGUUGGAGCACUGCAUCCUUCAAAACUUCCAUGCUUCCUGAGAUUUGCCAACACUACACCUGAUUUUCUCCCCUCCAUACACAUGCAAGCAUGUAUCUGACUCAUACACUGUUCGCUUUCCAGACAUUUGUACAUUACUGCAUAUACUUUAUACGCACUUUUUGACAAGUUGUGGUGCACCUGAGCACUGUAUACAAUAAUUUCUUUAUAUAUUUCAUGUUGCUCCAGAUCACUCAGCUGGUAAAAAUCAGUAACACCUGUAUUUCAAAGGACCAGUCUUGUUACAUUCUGUGUCACACGGAAUCUCCCUGAGAACUAUGUUAAGGGUACAUGUGUCUAUGGAGUGCUCAGCCACUUGCAUGUUAAUUUCAUGAGCAGGUUGUUCUGUUGAUUGGAUCAGCUAGAACCCUGGUUGUCAUAACAACGGAGUGCCAGUUAUGGGGACGUAAACACAUCAGCAUUGUCAAGCGAUGUUGGCGGGGGGGGGGGGGGACAAACACAGACACACAGACACACACAUAUAUAUAUGACACGGUUCUUUCAGUUUCUGUCUACCAAAUCCACUCACAAGGCUUUGGUUGACCCGAAGCUAUAGUAGAAGACACUUGUCCAAGGUGCCAUGCAGUGGGUUUGAACCCGGAACCUUGUAGUUCGUAAGCAAGCUACUUACCACACAGCCACUCCUACGCCUAUUGUUCAAAAUUUCCUUCCUUUUUCUAAGACGUUAGCCUGUGUUUUGAGGUAACUUAGCUGGUAUGUCUAGCACAGCAUCAUAGGCACAUCCUCUCAUUGUCUUGUAUUUGUCUCAAUUUACCAAUCAGAAAACUUUUUUCUGGAUAUCUGCUUGUAAUAGACUGAAGUUUUUUUUUUCCCUCAAGUAAGAUUUUUCUCUCAUCCUAAGUCAUUUGUAGCUCAAUUUUAAGUUAAUCUUGAGCCAAGCACUGACCGAAACACACCUCCCUGCUGCCAACCAAAGUCUUCAGCUUCUUGAAUUUAUUGAUUUCUAAUAUAUCAUAUAUUUCAUUUCGCUGAAAGGCAAUCAUCACAAAAUUCUAAACUAGAAGACAUGUCUGGAGUUGAGAUUCCUGGUGUCAUAGAAAAAUGUGAAUUAAUUAAUGCAGUGUAGACAUUUGUGAAAUGUGGAUGGGGAAUAUGAAAGGGGGAUGGGAUGGGGGAAAUGUUGAUAACUUUUGUCAGUUUAACAAUUUCUGAAGAUUGAAACACACACACGUGUAUGUGUAUGUGUGUACAUAUGUGUAAGUAUGUAUGUACGUAUGUAUAUGUGUAUGUAUAUAUAUAUAUAUAUACAUAUGUAUGUAUGUAUGUAUGUAUGUAUGUAUGUAUGUAGAUAAUGUAUUUGUGUGUAUUAGAAAUUCAUGUUUAAAAUAUUAUUUGCAUUGAUGAAAUAUCUGAUUAUUGAACAGCCCUUGAGGGGUUGGGUGGAGUGGUGCAUCAUCAUCAUCAUCAUCAUCAUAUUUUGACAACUUGUUCCCCCUUCAUCAUAUCUCACAUCAGCCAUUCCCACACCAAUGCCCUAACUUCAUCAAUAGUUGCAGCUUGGACUUUGCUAUGGUUUUAGAAGGUUUCCUACAGUUCUCCCACAAGUCAGUCACUUUCUAGACAAUAAACUGGCUGAUGGGCAAAAUGUUUGACUCAGAAGACAGUGUCCAGUAAUUUUCAGCCAUCUUCUUACUAUUUUGUUUGUCAACUGGGGAAGUUGAAGAAUUAUUCAUUCAUCACCUAUUGAACCAUAAAUAACAAAGUUGUGUUUAAAUCCUUCUCUUCUCUUGAAGUUCUUUUUCUUCUUUUUAUUGGGAGUCCUUCCCAAGAAGGCAGCAAAUAGACAGUAAGAAAACAGGCCCGAAGCAAUGAUUAUGUUUGGAGAAAAGAAUCCGAAAAGGCUUAAAGCAAAGAUUUUCAUUGCACCAUUUAGUCCACAAAGACUCCUGAGGAUGAUUCUUGAUCAAUUCUCUCUGAUUGACAUGGAAUUUCUAUUAGAAAAUCCAAAGAUGGCUUCCUGUUGUGUUCCUUUGAGUGCUUUUUUUUUUUAUCAGUUUCAUACAGACAAGUAUGUCUCACUUCCCCGAGAAAGGACUACCUAUUUCUUUAUUACCCACAAGGGGCUAAACACAGAGGGGACAAACAAGGACAGACAUAAGUAUUAAGUCGAUUACAUCGACCCCAGUGCAUAACUGGUACUUAAUUUAUUGACCCCGAAAGGAUGAAAGGCAAAGUCGACCUCUACGGAAUUUGAACUCACAACGUAACGGCAGACGAAAUACCGCAAAGCAUUUCGCCUGACGUGAUAACGUCUCUGCCAGCUCGCUGCCUUCUGAGAAAGGACUACCAUGCCAAACAAACCAUUUUGUCUUGCACUUUAACAAUUCUACCAAGGUUGGCAGGUCAUUUUAACAACUUUCAAAUUUGAAAGGCUAAGUUGGUUGACCUUAGAGGAAUUUGAACUCAGAACAUUAAGGACUGGAACUGAUACCACAAAUUAUUUCAUUCUGACUCUACUGAAUCUGCCAACGUGUUACCCUCUUUAAGUUCUACUAGGGAACUUGUCCUUCCUUAGCUGUUAAAAUGUGCCCCUGGAGUUGAUUUAAUCAACUGUUUCCUUCUCAUUUAACCACAUGACCAAGAAUCAACAAAAUAAAACAUUUUUGACAUGUAUAUAACAAAAAUCUAUUUUCUUUCAAGUAAACUCCAGGAUCUGGUUUCAAUUCCUAGUGUGAAUAAUAUUUCUAAUUUAUAUUUUUCAUAUUUAUAUAAAAAUGCAUGAACAUCACAAUUUUCUUUCCCAUUUUUUCCCUAUAAUUCUGAUGUUUUGCAUCUGUGUAAGAAUAAUAUAAUGAAGAUGCCUCUCCCUGCAUGCCAUCCACUUGCGAAUGUACCCUACUUGACCUGAAAGAAAUAGCAAAUCUUAUAUCACGGCCCACCACUUUUUAGAAAGGAAAGACACAUUGGAUGAUGUAGUCUUUGAUACACUAUGCCUAAGAAAAAAAAAAAGAGACUGCAAAAUUCACAUCUGGAAUGUCUUUGGUUAUAGCAACUGCUUCAUUAAGGCUAACCUGGAGCUAAGCAAACACAACAUCAAUGUAGAUGUCUUGAGUUCAAGUCACAUUACAGGAAGUGAAAUGUAUGUCUGGCUGCAUCUCUAGGAAGGGAUUUAUUAUUAGCCUGGGGUUGACCUCACUGAAACAACAACAACAGUAACAGGGGUUAAUCUAGCUUCAUGGCUGGGUGGUUGGUAAUUGGGUUGGAGUCUACAGCUGUAAUAAUAUUGUGGGGGUGGAGACAGCCCACCCGUGUUAGCAUGGUUCACUGACACAUCAUCACCAUAAUUUAAUAUAAUCACUAGCAACACCACCACCAUCAUCAUCAUCACUACACUCACUACCAUCACUGCCAUCACUAUCAUCAUUCCUAUCAUUAACACUGCUACUAACACCUCUGCCUCCUUCACCCUGACAACCAUUAUCAUCCUCAUCUCUCCCAUCAAUUUCAUCAUUGUUAUCACCAUCAUCAUCAUCAUCAUCAUCAUCAUCAUCAUCAAUAUCUUGUCUGUAAAGUUCUUGCUGUACACACAUGCAUACACAAAAACAUAAACAUAUACAUAUAUAUAUUCUUGUCUAAAUAAACACAUCUCUAUGAGUAGUAUAUAUAUAUAUAUAUAUAUAUAUAUUUGUCUGUAUACACUUGUCUAUAUUUGUCUGUAUAUGUGUGUGUAUAUAUAUAUAUAUAUAUAUAUAUAUAUAUAAACACAUAUACAGACAAAUAUAGACAAGUGUAUAUAAUACUACUCGUAGAGAUGUGUCUAUUUAGAUAAGAACACCAUGCAUACACAUGUACGUGUUAAUAUACUUACGCAUAUGCAUACAUAGUUGUAAGUUUUACAUGCAUACAACACAGACACACACACACAAACGUACAUACACCGAUAUACAUGAACACAUACAUAUACACAUAUGUAUAUACAUACAUACCCCACCCACACACACAUAUAUAUAAAUAUGAACAUUUGUGAACAUUUAAUGUGGUUUUAGAGUCAAGUUUUGGCUACUAUUUCUAGCAUGGUGGUAUUUCUUAGAUACCCAUAAUUAUAAUUUUAUAUAUGUAGGAGUGGCUGUGUGGUAGGUAGCUUUCUUACCAACCACAUGGUUCUGGGUUCAGUUCCAUUGCAUGGCACCUUGGGCAAGUGUCCUCUAUAGCCUCGGGUCGACCAAAGCCUUGUGAGUGGAUUUGGUUGACGGAAACUGAAAGAAGCCUAUCGUAUUACACCAUGAUAGAUUGAUAACUGCUACACAUUCUUUAAUUUCUCUCCUUGUUUCUUUCUGUGUUCCUUUCUGUAGAAGAGCGUAGGCUCGAAAGGUUAAAGACUUUUUCACUUCCCAAGUGUUAAACUAUUACAUCUGUUUGUUGUCUACACCACCUGUCUUAGUCUUUUAUUUUUUGUGAAUUCUCCCUAUAUAUAUAUAUAUAUGUAUAUGUAUAUGUAUAUGUUUGUGUCUGUGUUUGUCGCCCCACCAUUGCUUGACAGCCGAUGUUGGUGUGUUUACAUCUCUGUGACUUAGUGGUUUGGCAAAAGAGACCAAUAGAAUAAGUACUAGGCUUACAAAGGAUAAGUCCUAGGGUCAAUUUGUUUGACUAAAGGCAGUGCCGCAGUCAAAUAACUGAAACAAAUAAAAGAAUAAAAGAAAGAAUUGUUCCUGAAAGUUGUUUUUUUAGAUCUUGUAUGGACUACUUGAAGCUCACUAACUUCCUACAUCUUGAUCCUUAGAUCUUAUCUUUACACAUUUAUAUAUAUGUAUAUAUAUAUAUGUACAUAAUCAAAAUAAGCAACAAAGAUAUCCAAGGUAGUGUAGUACAAUUGUUUUAUGCUACUUCAUUUUAUUAAACACUGUAAGUAUUACAUCAGGCUGGAGGGUGUAUCAGCUGAAACGUUGUGUUAACAACAAACAAGAUGAGGACAAAUAUCCGUUGAAUGUAAAUAAUGUACAUAAUUCCUCGUCUCUUAAAUAUAGAACUGUAUCGUUACAUCCUUUUACAUUCUGAGCUCAAAUACUGCUGAGGCCAACAGUUAAAAAGGGGGGUAUUUAAGGUUAUUUGUCUCUAUUUUAGGAAUUGGUUUUAUCUCAGCAAUAAAUUCUUGUGUCUUGAAUGUUUGCUCUAUUUCUUCAGUUAAUUAAAAACUUUAUAUUUUUCUGAUUUCAGUCAUUGUCAGUAACCAUACUGGAGCAACACCUUGAUGCAUUCAUUGUUGACCAAACCAACUCCAAUGCUUACUUAGUUUAGUCAGGUAUGUAAUUUUAUUGAUAUAUUUUGUCCACGGUUUCAAUGACCAAAAGAAUUUGAUUGCAAUUACUAUACACAAUGAACAGCUCAAUGCCAAGACGGGU
rnacentral:lncRNA from 1 species